GGGGAAGUGUCGGAAUUGGCAGACGAGCAUGACUUAGGAUCAUGUGCCCCCGGGCGUGUGAGUUCGAGUCUCACCUUCCCCACCA
rnacentral:tRNA from 1 species